CCUUUGAUAGCUCAGCUGGUAGAGCGGAGGACUGUAGGCUGCUCUAUGACAGUAAUCCUUAGGUCACUGGUUCAAUUCUGGCUUGAAGGA
rfam:Fulmarus glacialis contig88067, whole genome shotgun sequence.